rnacentral:rRNA from 1 species
GACGAACGCUGGCGGCGCGCUUAACACAUGCAAGUCGAGCGAGAACCAGGGCUUCGGCCCUGGGGAAAGCGGCGAACGGGUGAGUAACACGUGAGUAACCUGUCCUCGGCACCGGGAUAGCCCGGGGAAACCCGGAUUAAUACCGGAUGGCCUUUCGAGUCCUCGGGCUCGUCAGAAAAGGGAGCUUCGGCCUCCGGCCGAGGAGGGACUCGCGGCGGAUUAGCUUGUUGGUGGGGUAACGGCUCACCAAGGCGACGAUCCGUAGCUGGUCUGAGAGGACGAUCAGCCACACUGGGACUGAGACACGGCCCAGACUCCUACGGGAGGCAGCAGUGGGGAAUCUUGCGCAAUGGGCGAAAGCCUGACGCAGCGACGCCGCGUGCGGGAAGAAGGCCUU